UUCGCUUCAGCAGCCCGUGGAGAGAAACUGCGCCGCCUCGCCGCGCCUCGCUCUCAAGUCUGCGGGCGUCUUUGUCCCGCGAGAUUUCAACGUCUCAUGUAGGCGAGCCUCCAGAGCAAGUCGGACAAAAUAACUAACCAUCAUGCAACCUAUGCAUGCAACGCAGUUGAACGCACUAGCAAGACGGCGAUCGCAAUUGCGCAGGUCUGCGUCGUUCUCGCUCGUCUCAAACAAGCCUACUUGUGAUCAUUAUCUGCACGAAACAGCGCAAAUUGAGAGUUUUACCGGGGCGGCGGUGGACCAAUCACUGGGGCUGUCGUUGGAGGUUGGAGCUGCGUUGGAAAGCGGGAGUUUUGAUUGUUAUUUUAUUUUCCUCGGCUGGGUUUUUAUGAUACCCUUGGAUAAGAAGAUUCUGGAUUGUGGACUCUGGAUUUUCUCCCUGACCUCAUCUUUCCGCUACCAGUGGUAGGAUUUUGAGAGGACCUUACAGGAACUGAACAAAGAACUAUUUUCUUUAGGGGGUUUAUUUUACUUUUAUUUGGGGUGCACCCAAGUGUCAAGCGCUAUAAAAACAAUUGGAAUUAUUUAGAAGAAUGUUGUUUAUUCCUGUGCCAAUAUAUCGAUUUUUUUCUUUAUAAAAUCUCAGUAUUCACUUCA